rnacentral:lncRNA from 13 species
CAGAGAUGCAGACAUAGAGAAAAGACCAUGUGAAGAGGCAGCAAGAGGGUGGCCAUAUGAAAGCCAAGGAGACAGACUUGAGAGGACACCUUGAUCUUGGACUUUCAGAUUCUAGAACUGUGAGAAAACACAUUUCUGUUGUUAGGCCACCUAACCUGGGGUACUUUGUUAUAGGAGCCCAGGGAAACUAAUAUACUGACACUGGGCCAUACAUGUGACUUUCUUUGGCCAAGGGGCAGUAGCAAACAUGAUAUAAGCAAAGACUUGGAAACUCUCUUGCUGCUCUUGAGAGCCCUGCCAGCAACCAAGUUUGGGCUAAUCUGCUGGAUGAGGAGAUAACAUGGCCCAUCAGCUCACUGCCUCAGCUCACAAGUUAAACCCCAGAUGCAGUUGCCUAGCUUACUGCCAGCCACCACACAUGCAUGAGAGUCCAACGGUCCAACAGAGAUCAGCAGAAGAGCCACACAGCUGAGACCAGUCCCAACUGCGGAUCCACGGAAUACUGCAGGUGGAAUAAAAAUCCUGUCAGGGCAUGUGAAUCUCCUAUUGUGAUCCCUGAAGUUCUGCUGUGCUCAAGACAGAUGGAAACCCUGCAGCAGCCUCGCAGAAUGGCUCUCAGAUAUGACCCGCAUAUAAAGCAGAGAGCAGGAGGAUGCUCCAGAGCCAAGCGCCGGCAGCCUGUUGACAUCCAUAAAACACAAGACUAUCUUUGACUUUGACCCUCUCAGGUCCAGUAAAACAUGGCAAAAAUAUAGAGAAGGGGUGAGCUGCUGUCUUGGAAUCAUUCCAGACAAUUUGAAUAUGUGACCAAUGUUUAAAUAUAUGACCGAUGUGUAUUAUCUGCAAAUGUGCUAUCAUCUUUUUAACCUCAAAGAGCAAGAGACUAAAUGCUUUGACAGUGAUUUUUCUUCUUUCUGGCAUUUUCAGGUGACAUAUUUUAGUGAGAUAAAAAUAAGGGUAAUGCUUUCUGACCCUCUCUUUUGUAGCUCUCACAAAGAUAUCACAUCUUGAUCACAUGGGAUGUGGAAGGCAGAGAAGCAACCAACCUAGGCAGGAGAGAUGGCCAGCUCUGGGAAGGAGCCAAGAGCCCAAACACUGUGCCCAGGGCAUGCAGUGAAUGCUCACCUACUCCAGGAAGGAGUCAGUAUGCAUGUUUCCAGUUCCUGGGUGCUGGGAAAGGACUCACAAGGGACUUAUGGUGGCAGGAGUUCUGGGCAUCAGGUGGUGCCUGAGCCAUGGACUGUGAAAGAUAAUAGAAGCAGGAUCCAACUCUACAAAAAGGGCUGGUAGUAACCAGGCAAGAAGAGUCACUGUCCCUGGCCAAGUAAACUUGGUUUAUGGAAAGGGGCAGGGGUAACUGAGAAACGGAGGGAACAAAAAACUGACCAAGCUGACUCUCCCCUUGCUUAUCACAUCCAUCUUUGAAUUUUAUUGAGAUUCCAUAAGUGCUCAUGCUCUUAAUGGGCUCAUUUUCUGAUCUUCGACCAUGUAAUAAAUCUGCCAGGAAUACCUCCA